rnacentral:rRNA from 1 species
CCCUUAGAUGUUCUGGGCUGCACGCGCGCUACACUGAUGCGAUCAACAAGUUUUUCCUAUGUCGAUAGACACGGGUAAUCUUUUGAACUCGCAUCGUGAUGGGGACAGAUUAUUGUAAUUAUUAAUCUUCAACGAGGAAUUCCUAGUAGGUGCAAAUCAUCAGUUUGCAUCGAUUACGUCCCUGCCCUUUGUACACACCGCCCGUCGCUGCUACCGAUUGGUUGAUCUGGUGAAUUAUUCGGACUGCCGGCUGAAGGGGUUUCCUCAUCUGCCAGCGGAAAGUCUUGUUAACCCUAUCAACUAGAGGAAGCAGAAGUCGUAACA